CCCUAGUAGCGGCGAGCGAAGCGGGAAGAGCUCAAAUUUAUAAUCUGGCACCUUCGGUGUCCGAGUUGUAAUCUCUAGAAAUGUUUUCCGCGUUGGACCGCACACAAGUCUGUUGGAAUACAGCGGCAUAGUGGUGAGACCCCCGUAUAUGGUGCGGACGCCCAGCGCUUUGUGAUACAUUUUCGAAGAGUCGAGUUGUUUGGGAAUGCAGCUCAAAUUGGGUGGUAAAUUCCAUCUAAAGCUAAAUAUUGGCGAGAGACCGAUAGCGAACAAGUACCGUGAGGGAAAGAUGAAAAGCACUUUGGAAAGAGAGUUAACAGUACGUGAAAUUGUUGGAAGGGAAACGCUUGAAGUCAGACUUGCUUGCCGAGCAAUCGGUUUGCAGGCCAGCAUCAGUUUUUCGGGGUGGAUAAUGGUAGAGAGAAGGUAGCAGUUUCGGCUGUGUUAUAGCUCUCUACUGGAUACACCCUGGGGGACUGAGGAACGCAGUGUGCCUUUGGCGGGGGUUUCGACCUCUUCACACUUAGGAUGCUGGUGGAAUGGCUUUAAACGACCCGUCUUGAAACACGGAC
rnacentral:rRNA from 1 species